GUAUCAUAUAACUGUGGAGUGUCCAGCGUCCCUCACGUUCGGGGCUUCCUCCACAGGCAUCCCUAUAGGUAAUGAUGCCAUCAAGUAUCAGGUCUUGCAGAGUUGCGAUGUCAAUUUCAAUCGGUGAUUUGAUCAGGGCAACUUUGGAGCUUCAAGGAGCUCAAGGAGUGUGUUUGUGGCUUGAAAUUCGUUAAAGAAGCAUGGUACGAGACCUCAUAAAAGUGUGCCAAGGGACACCAACAAAAUAUGCUGCGGCACCACGCCUUAAUUUUGUUCAGAUAACCGUGUUGCGGGCCAUACAACCUAAAACUGUCGUGGGGCAACUUGCUCUAUUUGCACGAUUUCGAGGUUUUGGUGCCUCCGAAUUAUUCAGGGUAACUUCUAAGUGUGAAGACAUCUUGUUGGAAUAUUUUGCAUAUUUCAUACAUUGCAUAUAUACAUUUUAGAGGAGUUUGGAAAAUAUUGAGCAUUGUUCUUAUAUAUAUAUAUUCGGAAAACAAAGGGUAAUUUAGAUCCAAAUAUGAAUAAAUCUGGUGACUGGGUUGGCAUAUAUAGUUAGUUAUUUAGAAAAGCAAAGGAAAUUUACAUCGCAUUGCGGACAUUUUCAUUUAAUGGGGGAUUAAGAAAGUGAUCAAAAUUAAAAGAGGACAUAGUGUAAUGAUGCACAUUUUUUGUCCGGUAAUUAAGAUAUCAGGUUCAAUAUUCAAUGAAAUUUCUUUUAUUAACUAUUAUGAUUUCUAUUUCAUUAUGUUAAGUCAAUGAAUCUCCUUUAUAACCUAAAAAAAAUUAUCAAAGAGAUAAAUAAAUAAAUAAGCUAUAUAAUCAUAUAUAUAUAUAUAUAUGUAUGCACAUAAGUAAAUGGUGGUUUUGGAGGUAAAUGAAGAGAAUGUUGAUAGAAUUCGUAUGGAAACAGCCAGCUCGAUUUUUUAAGUUGGUCAUAAAAUUUACCCGUGAAAAGUCGACCAAGUUUGAUCAAACUACAGGUCCGCUCCAUAAUUUUUGCAAUAUUUCGUAUAACAUUCUUAGUCAUGCUCAAUUGUUUCAAUUUAAAUUGCAAUAAUGCAAGUUGUGUAUGCAAGCUAUAUAAACAUAUAUAUCUAUAUAUAAUAAAAUUACCGAAGCGAGAAGGUACAAAAUAAUUUUCUUUUUCGGGGUUGAGAAAAAUAAUUAAAGAAGGACAAAUGGAAUGCGUAAAUUUAUUGUUUUUGUCCAUUUUGACCAUAUAUAUACACAUAGUGAAGAUGGGCUUGUAAAAGUAGCGUUAAUGGCGUCAGAUACAAUUGAUAGAAUAUAUUUUAUUGUAACGAUUUUGAAACUUUUUAUAUCAAAAAAAUAUUUUAAAUUAAUUUAAAAUAUUUAUAAAAUUUUUUAGAUCAUCGAUGUAAUUAAUAUUUAUUUUAAAGAAAAAGAAAGUGACAGAUAAAUUAGAGGGAAAAUGAACGAGUGGUCGAAAAUAAAUGCAGAGGAUAGAGACGGGGGAAUCCUAGUCAUUUCCUUCAUCCCCUAUCAGUUCUCACCAACACCACCCCCUCCCCCCCGGGAAGUUUGACGGUCGUUUUCUCCCCAUUUUUUUUCCCUGCCUUUUUUUAACUCCUCAUCUCUCUCUCUCUCUCUCCCCUCCCCACCCCCCCGGGUGUCACCAUCCAUGGCUUCUCGGUGCGGCUGCAGCUUCUUCUUCUUCUUCUUCUUCUUCUUCUUUUUCUAUAUUGUCUCUCUGAUCCACCGGUUCCACGCCCAAGCCGUCUCCUUGCCGAACACAUUCCUCCUCCCAGUCACCAAAGACGCCUCCAGCCUCCAGUACCUCGCCAAGAUCCGCCCCGGUGGCGAUUCUCAGCGUCCCCUCACCCUCGUCCUCGAUCUCAGCCGCCCCUAGCUCUGGACCUCCAUGAUGCCGUGAAGAUGAAGACUAGGGUUUUAUAAUUUCAUUUGGCCUUUUGAAUUUUUUUAUUUUUCAAAUUUACUUUUAGGUCCUUCUUGUUUAAAAAAUUCUGAAUUCAUCCAAGCGAUCGGUUUACGUAGGUUUAUCUAAAAACUGUUCAAUUUUUUUGAGAUCACCGAUCUAUUUAUGCAUUUUCAAUUUUUAAGCUAAUCGGAUCGGAUAUAAAUUCGAUUUUCGGUUCAA